CGUCGGUUUAAAAAGCGAAUUUAACGGCAUUUUGUCGCGCUGAUAAUACAGCAGCUUUAAUUAACAGUCUUUGUAAAAUUACAGGAGAGUGAUACACAUCACUGGUGGAUGAAAUGGAUCCCCUCACCACCCACAGUGGGUGCUACUGUGGGCAGUACCUCCGCUACCUCAUCAGUGGUCAUUCACAGAGCUCCAUGAGGGCAAAAGACGCUAGGGGUGUUCAGAGCAGCCGGACAGUUUUUCAUUUAGCAGAAUGCAACUCUGGAUUUUCAUUUCACAAAAAGACAAUGAGGUCAGCAGUGGUCUCAGCAGAAUGAGCCCGUUGUUUUGGCAGGGAGGUAGAGGGGCCUAGCGAGGCGAGCUGAACCAGUUCUUUGUGGGGCACACAUCUCCAAAGAUACCCCUCUUACAACUGAUAGGACGUGGGUUGCCUAGUAACAACUCUACCUCUGCCAAUAAAUGGCCCACUUUGUUUGAAAACCUGAAAAAAGAGCAAUUUGUGCUUUGUGCUGACAAUUGGUGGAUUUUUUAAGCAAAGAUCAUAAUUACAAAUUGUUGAAAAGCUUCUUUCAUAUCCUGUCAGGGUAAUUUCAAUAGAAAAAGGUACUGUAUGAUCUUGCUUAUCAGUGAAUUAAAUGAAAAAAAACAAGCAUUUUAGGUCUUGUGGUGAAAGACAGACACAAAGAAAAAAAAAUAUUCUUCAAGAAAAUAAAUGGCAAUUAAGUUAU